UUUUGAAGCUCAUAAUCUUUUACUUCCAAGAUGCUUGAUAAGCAGUUUUCAUAUUCGGCAUCACAUUCUAUAUCUGUUGGUUAAAUAUGAUGCUCCGUUUAGUUAUUUUCCUUGCCUUAAAAAUGAGAAUUAGGGUAUACAUUUGCUGCAGGUGGUUUAGGUUAAUUCAGUUUUCCUUUUAUAAUUUUUUUUCUUUUACAAUAAGAAAGUGAAGAUUUUGGAUUACUGUGUUUUGGCUGAAAGUUAGUAAAAUUUCGUUCAGAGGGGCAUAGAAAGUUGUUUGUCGUCGUACAUCAUAGAUGCUAUUUUAGUUACUUCUAUGCACACCCAACGUAAAAAUACUAUUCACUCUAAAAUGCUCGUCUUCAGCAUCACGCCUGAUAUUUGUGUCUAUAAAUUGGAAGUUUCCAGGGGUGUUUGGACUUUGGAUCUUGGAUAUUAGUUUAAUAGCAUCAAACUAUUUCUGUUGAAGAGAUUGAUAACCAAGUGUUUACUUUUUACACCAUGUUUUACACUCACAAAUUUCAUGAAUUGAUCAAUUUUCUUAAAAUUCUCCCGCUCAAUUCUGAAAGAAUUUGAGAAACUAUGUGAAGUUUUGAAUUUCUUAUGCAUUGUCAUUUAUUUAAUAGUUGGUUUCCAUUUUCAGGCGCAUGAGCUUUGAUUGAUAAGAAGAAUCUUCUGAGAAGGUUGUCCAUGUUCUUGUUCGCCAAAUAUCAGUAUUUUACACGGCAAUACAUCAAGCAGCCGGCUAUGGAGCUGAUUUUUUUUCUUGCUUCAGGGUGGAAAUGGGAGACAUACAAAUGACUGGAGUUUCAUAUAUCUUUGCAUGUUGCGAUCUCGUCGUUAUCUUGGAUGCUUGAAUGCUGUAACAACUCAAAGUUUCGUAUGUUUAAGGCGAAACGGGGAGAUGUGAAAUUGGUAAAGGUCAAAGGGAAAGUGAGGAAUCACAACUUCAAACAUGGAAAUGCAAAACAUAAAUAAAACUGAGAACUUUAGACAUCAUGAUGAAGAAGAACAUACCUCCCAAAUCACAGAGGCAGCUCCUCCGAGUCUUCAUCCGCCAAAACCUGCUGCGACACCUCUCAAUCUCAACUCUCCUGCAAAAACAGCCAUGAAAGACAGCAAAGCUUUCACACCAAAGCAAGUUAUGAAGGAAAACUCAACCAAACCUGAUUUCGCAGCUCUCGGCGUCGAUCUUAAUGAACCCCUUCACCCAUCUCCAUCUUCUUCAGAAUGUGGAAGCACCACUGGUCAGGCGGAAAUCAGCGAAUCAAUGAAAAAGUGGAUUGAGAUGAAGCAGAAUGGAUUUGUAUCGAUUGUAAAGGUGAAGCGGCCACCCCUUCCUCAACCGAAGAGGCACCAAUCCAUAAAGAAUAAAGAGCUCAACGAGCGCAUCCGUGUUCAUCAUCCCACCCAACUGCUUUCUGGCCUGAACCAGGGAAUUAUCAAACACGUAAGAAAUAGCAAGCAGGUGAAUUCGAUCAUAAAGGCGAAUGUUGCAAAAUGAGAUGCUCGAAAAAAACACGCCGCAUCAUUUAAAAAGACGAAGCAAGGAACGAUUCAGUGAUUCAGUGUGGAAGAACAAGUUCAACCAUGAAAGAUACAACAAUGCAUUGCAAAGUAAUGAUGAUGCUCUUACGCUAAGACUUUCAUGUUUUACGAAGAGAUCACCAGAAAAGGAAGAUAUUACCUCUCUCUCAGUCAAAGGAGACGUGGCUUAGGCAUGUAGAAGAGCUCAAGUCACAAUGUCAAGAAGGGCUUACGUUUGGUAGGACUAAUGGAUUCUUACAUUUAGAUGGCACAAAGGAGUUAAG